UAGGGAAUAUUGCGCAAUGGGCGAAAGCCUGACGCAGCAAUUCCGCGUGAAGGAUGAAAUCCUUCGGGAUGUAAACUUCGCAAAACUGGGAAGAACAAAAUGACGGUACCAGUUGUAAGCCACGGCUAACUCUGUGCCAGCAGCCGCGGUAAUACAGAGGUGGCAAGCGUUGUUCGGAAUUACUGGGCGUAAAGCGCGUGUAGGCGGCUCUUCAAGUCAGGCGUGAAAGCCCCAGGCUCAACCUGGGAAAUGCGUUUGAUACUGUCGAGCUAGAGUGUGGAAGGGGCGAUUGGAAUUCCGUGUGUAGCGGUGAAAUGCGUAGAUAUACGGAGGAACACCAGAGGCGAAGGCGGAUCGCUGGGCCAACACUGACGCUGAGACGCGAAAGCUAGGGUAGCAAACGGGAUUAGAUACCCUCGUAGUCCCUGAGCGGGCUGGCAAGGCGCAU
rnacentral:rRNA from 1 species